rnacentral:rRNA from 1 species
AUGGCCGAAGCAAUUGUUGGUUUACUAAUCGGCAAGCUGGGUGCAGCCUUGGGGAAAGAGGCAGCAACCUAUGGCGUAUCGCUGCUUUGCAGUGAAGGCUCUACCCUCAGAGGUCUUUUUGGUGAGAUUCGUGAAGCCAAGGAGGAGCUUGAGAGUAUGCAGGCUUAUCUUAAAGGGGCAGAGCGGUUCAAGGACACCGAUGAGACAACUGGCCUCUUUGUUGAGAGGAUCAGGGGAUUUCCUUCCUAG